rnacentral:tRNA from 5 species
GCGCCCGUAGCUCAGCAGGAUAGAGCGACAGUUUCCUAAACUGUGCGUCGCGGGUUCGAAUCCCGCCGUGGCGCGCCA